UUUAUUGGAGAGUUUGAUCCUGGCUCAGGAUGAACGCUGGCGGCGUGCCUAAUACAUGCAAGUCGAGCGAAUGGAUUAAGAGCUUGCUCUUAUGAAGUUAGCGGCGGACGGGUGAGUAACACGUGGGUAACCUGCCCAUAAGACUGGGAUAACUCCGGGAAACCGGGGCUAAUACCGGAUAAYAUUUUGAACCGCAUGGUUCGAAAUUGAAAGGCGGCUUCGGCUGUCACUUAUGGAUGGACCCGCGUCGCAUUAGCUAGUUGGUGAGGUAACGGCUCACCAAGGCAACGAUGCGUAGCCGACCUGAGAGGGUGAUCGGCCACACUGGGACUGAGACACGGCCCAGACUCCUACGGGAGGCAGCAGUAGGGAAUCUUCCGCAAUGGACGAAAGUCUGACGGAGCAACGCCGCGUGAGUGAUGAAGGCUUUCGGGUCGUAAAACUCUGUUGUUAGGGAAGAACAAGUGCUAGUUGAAUAAGCU
rnacentral:rRNA from 1 species